UUGUUCUCUUCUCUGUCAUCUUCACUGGACUCUACACUCUAAGAGACAGACCCUGGAAUCUCUUUAAUGUGGGCUUAGCACACUGCCUGGUAUAUAUCACAUGUUGGAUAAAUAUUUGUUGAAUGAAUAAAUCCUUUGAAGGUAGCAUAUAUGGUGGGGAGAGCACUGGAAUUGGAGUUGGAAAAUCUGGCUUCCCAUCCUCGUUCUAACACCUAGCGCUGUGUGACUGGAGACAAGUUACUUACAUUCCUUGAGCCUCAGUUUCCUCACCUGUAAAAUUGGAUAAAGAAUACCUAUAUUUCAAAAAAAAUUUUUUUUUAAGACUUUAAAAGUCAGACAAUACACAUGAAAAUAUUUGUAUCUGGCAAAUGGUUGAUAUUUAAUAAUCACCAGAUUGGGAUGGUUUAUGAACUACAACUAGACUAUUAUAAUUAUAUGAGCAGUAUAAAAUAUCUUGAUGAGCACUAUGAAUGGUAAGUUCGUUUAGCCAUCUGCAUACUACCAACUCUUCCUAUAUUUGGUUUUAUGUACUCAGGAGACUCUGAUAGUCAAGAUAAAUGUUCACUUUAGAGAUUUUGGGACUCCAUCAAGCUACACGCUUCAGGAUCAAGGGUUAUGUACACUUUAUACUAUGAACAUAUAAGAACAUAAAGACCGAAGGUUUAUCUGCUCCAUCUCAAAAACAUUUUCUGAAUGUUUGAAAGUGAUCCUUGGUAACAUAAAGUUUGUGUUCUUUGGAAACAAGAUUUUUUUUUCUCUUUCAAACAACUCCUGAAAAAACAAAGAAUUACGUUUAAUUAAUAAACCUAUCAUGAUUCUGCCUGAAAUGUUUUCUUGUAAAGAUCUAUUAUGUUCUUUAAGAUUUCAAGGCAACAAAAAUCAAUGAUUUCUAUAAAGUGAUCACAAUCUUUUUUGUGUGUAACUAAGGCUAACAAAAUAAACCACAUGCUAAAAUCCUGUGGAAAAGAAAUUGCCUCAGCCAUACGAUGGUUACAUCACUCAAAGUUUAUACACAGGAUUUCCCGUCAUGGUGCAGUGGUUAACGAAUCCUACUAGGAACCAUGAGGUUGCGGGUUCGGUCCCUGCCCUUGCUCAGUGGGUUAAUGAUCCGGCGUUGCCGUGAGCUGUGGUGUAGGUUGCAGACACGGCUCGGAUCCCGCGUUGCUGUGGCUCUGGUGUAGGCCGGGGGCUACAUCUCCGAUUCGACCCCUAGCCUGGGAACCUCCAUAUGCCUCGGGAGCAGCCCAAGAAAUAGCUAAAAAAAAAAAAGACCAAAAAAAAAAAAACAAGCUAAUGGCUGGGAGAGAGAGAUGUUAACUUUACGUAUUUGAUUACAAAGCAGAACAGAGAGUAAAACCUCAGAAUCAAUAAUCAUUAUUUUAUGUGAAACGUUCACUGUUUCCUCAAUUAGCUUCAUAUUCACUUUACUUGAGAUAACAUUUUUUAAACACAUAAAUCGUUAUAAGGAACCUAACAAUGGGGCCUAAAUUAAAUCCAGGGCUUAAAACCUUAUUUGCUGACAGGCAUCCUCUCAGUGUUUUCUACAGAGGGACAUCCUUCUGAUUAUGUCCAGGCUAUUUUAAAUGAUCUUGGACAGGGCUACUAAAUGACUUGUCAGGGAACAGGAAAACAUUAUGACACUGCUUCUCCAGAUUGCUUCCCAGAACAUGAAAUAUUUGGGAUCGUUCUAAUAGAAUCAAGGCUCGUUUCAUGUUAAGCUUCAGUUUUAACUGGGGGAAUGCUUCUAACAUAUGGCUGCUGGGCUCUGACUCACAGCAACCUUCAAAUUCUGGCCCAAAUGUCUGUUUCCUGAGAUUGUGUCUGAUAUGCCUGUGCAUCCCAGGUGGGGUCCAGCAGGCAUUCAAUAAAUGCUAUUGUUGGAACAAAUGAAUGAAUUAAAGAGUUUCUAAUUAUGAGCUACAAAUUCCUCCAUCAACAAAAUAAUCCCAUAGGGAAGUGGCAAUGUACUUGGAAUUCAUAUCUAUGAAGAGUUCUAUUUUCAGCUCCUUUAUAAUUUUUUUUUAUCAUUUAUGCUCAACUUAGUCGUUCUUGAUUUUUUUUAACCCAGAGUGUGAAAAGCACAGAAGUCUUUUCCAAAACAUGAAAGACAAGCAGCGUUCUUAGAAAGUUUCAUCUGUAUGUAGCUCAUGCAUGAUAAUUAUUUUUAAGUCUCAGUUAAUCACCAGAUAUUUUCUGAGAACAAACUGUGGGUGAGGUGCUAUGGGAGAUAUUUGAAAAAUAAAGUUAAAAACAUCUUACUCUUGCGUAUGCACAAAAAUUGUCAUUAAGGUGAGUAGAAAGUGUGUGGGUUCCAGCAGAUCCACAGGUGAGGCAAAUGUUUACCUAAGUGACACUAAAUUAGAACUGCCAUCAAAGUAGUAGAAAUACUUGCUGUCACACUUUUCAUAAUCAGAGACUUCUAUUCGAAAACACUAUGAAAUGGAACAUGGAAGAAAACAAAACAGAAAAAAAGAUCCACAAAGAUAACACCCAAAUUCCAACAACAAAAGUUCAUACUUGUGCUUUUAAAAAAAAACCCUCAGGCAUUCACUCAGGGGCUAUUUACUAUUAUGUAAGACACAGUUCUGACAACCUUGAUAUCUGAUUUUCCAGUAUAGAGAAUAUAAUUUUUAAAAAAAGCAUAGCAGAAAGGAGCAGAGAGUUCUGCUCAUAGGAGCAAAGAGGAACAAUAAAUACUAAAGGAAGAGAUAAAAAAUGAUAAGAGUUAGACAUAAGAACUCAAAAAGUAUAGCAGCAUGGGACUAUUGAGCGUAGGGGCAAACAAUAAGCCACACCUGCAGAGUCUCCGAGGACAUCCUAUAUUACAGCAUACUGUACACACCAUUAUAAUUAGUGUUUAUAAUGACUUUGAAACAUUAAGAAUGGAUUAGCCCAUGAACUCUAAGAAGACGGGAACUUACAUAGUACAUUUUGAAAGGUCUCCUCCAACCCGGAAUAAAGUGAAGUAAUUUAGACCUUUGGACAGACAUACUCCAGAAAAUUAAUUUACAUGGAACAUCACAUUUUCUAAUAAUGUCUGUGAAUAUGGCACGGGUAUAUAUACUUCAAAUAAUAACCCCAAUUACUUAAGACCUUAUAAUCAGGGUCUAGGUUAUUCCAGCUCUAGUAAGUAUACUCUGAAGCCGGCUGGGAAAAUAAAGAGCUUUCCAUAGUAGGAAUAACUGUUAUAUAUACUGGUAUUUCAUUCAAUUCUAUUAUUAGCCAAAUAUCAAUAAAAUAAAAAAUGUUCAAAUACCCUCCUCUAUUUUUAAAGUGACAAUGUUUUUGUAAAUGUUUACUUGAAUUACGGGUGCUUAGGGCUGAGGUUGAAAUGUGUAUCAUUAUACAAAGAUACUUGCUAUUUAUAUAAUAGCAAAGGCUAUUUAUAUAAUCAUGUUUAACCUGCUGGAAUUUUGGAGAAGGAAAAGUUAAUAAGUUCGAUGGGGGGAAAAAGGAAAGAAAAACAUAGGCACAGCUUGGCAUUGUUUUCAUUCAGGGCAGGUGAAGUGAUAGGUUUUUAAAAGUAGGCUUUAAACAUGCACCCACAUGACACCAACACCCUUCUUCAUGGCUGCAACAAUUCUUUUUCAAAACUGCAAACCUGUUUCCAGGGCAGCUGCAAAACAUCCGUGAACACUAGUUAAUUUAUUGGAGUCAUGGAAACUGCUGCCUCUACACCUGCCAGCUAGAUCCAUAUUGUGCAGACUCUACAAUGCAAGAGCCGAAGGUCUCGUGAUGAAUUCUCUCCGCUCCCGGCUAGAAGGAGGAAAGGGAAGCCACUGCGUAGAACCACUUGGACCACACUUUUGGAUUUCUACCGCUUCCACGCCACAUACUGUCCAGUCUUCAGAACAAUACUUUUUGCAUUAAAAUCGGCAUGACCACCUCUAAAUUGGUAUUAAAUUUAUUAUCUUCAUCACUAUUAUUACAUAGUUAUUCUUGUUAAUGAGAACAGAGUUUAAAGACUGCCGUUUGACACUUACCAAUGCCCGGGCAGACAGCAGGCAGGGUCAUUAUCCCUAUUCACAGAUGGGCUAAAUGGAGCUUGGAGAGGUUUUCCAGCUUAGCUGGGAAUAGUGAGAAAGCGAAGCUGGGUCUUCAGCUGGGGUUUCCAACCCUCGGUCUAGGGCUGGAUAAAUGUUGCCACAUGCUAGAUAUUGAAAAUUGAUUUCCUGUUCUUUAGGAAUCUAUAUUCUGAGGAAGUCAGAUUGGCAAGUAUAAGAAAAUUUUCCACAGGCGGAUUUCUGAAAGUGAAACAUGAGGCUAUCUUACAUUUUUUCAGAAGACUUUUGUCACUAAUUAUAUCUUACUUUCAGUUCACACUUUUUUUUUUUUUUAGGGCCACACCCUGGCAUGUGGAGGUUCCCAGGCUAGGGGUCGAAUCAGAGCUGUAGCCACCGGCCUACGGCCACAGCCACAGCAACUCGGGAUCUGAGCUGUGUCUGUGACCUACCCCACAGCUCACGGCAACGCCACAUCCUUAACCCAUUGAUUGAGGCCAGGGAUGGAACCUGUGUCCUCAUGGAUGCUAGUCAGAUUCAUUUCUGCUGAGCCACGAUGGGAACUCUGUCAGUUCACACAUUUUUAUGUUAUCUAUUCAUUCCUGCCACAAGAGAGAAUUUACAUGGCUCUUCGACAAUAUGCCUCCAGUAAAUCACCAAUUAGAUGUUAAUCAUUGGACCUCAUGACAAUCUACAGAAAACUAGCUUGUUCAGUGAAUGUUAUAAACCAAGCCCAGUCGUAUAACAGUUGUUCCACAGUUUCUGGUCCUUCCAGAGUGAUAGAGAUGCACAGAGUGCUAGUAAGACGCCCCAGCGCCUAUCAUGACAUGGGUCUCAAAUGCUCAGAGUAGUAUAUUUUGAAGUCACGUCUCUUCUUUUUUUCUGGAUCUCUUUUUCCUUAAUUUAAACUUUUUUGGCAUCUUUUCAUAUUUUAUCCAUUCAGGUUGGGGGGGGGGGUCUAGGCAGGCUAUAUCACAUGUGUUUUCCAACAGCAAAAGGGAGUAACUCCUGGCAUUAAUUCCAAUACUCCUUCCACAUUUAAGGGGUACUCAUUUGGCAUGUCUGUGCCCCCUUCCCCUGCAUAACUUUGCUCUUACCAGUGUUUGCUUGGUAUAAAAUACUUAGUUUAUCAAAACACCACAAUAGGUUAUGUUACCUUUAAACAUGAUAUUAUCUGGGCUUUGGAAAAAUUUAAUUCAGCAAAAUAGCAUGUAAUAUUUAUGGCAAGGAUUUUAGAUAGAACAAGAAUGUGGUGGUUCGGAGUUCCCAUUGUGGCUCACUGGGUUAAGAACCCAACAUAGUGUCCAUGAGGAUGCAAGUUUGAUCCCUGGCCUUGCUCAUUGGGUUAAGGACCUGGCCUUGCCUCAAGCUGCUGUGUAGGUUACAGCUGUGACUCAGAUCUGGUGUUGCCGUGGCUGUGGUUUAGGCUGGCAGCUGCAGCUUUGAUUCGAUUCCUAGCCUGGGAACUUCCAUAUACCGCAGGGGCAGCCAUAAAAACGAAAAAAAAAAAAAAAAAAAAAAAAAAGAAUGUGGUCACUCUAGGGAUAAAAGUCUUAGGUAGAGACACUGACAGACCUAGGAAUAAAAUCCGCAAGGUCUCAUUUCUAUCCAGUUCUCUGACCAUUUGGUCACCCUUUAGGAAGAGAAAAUAACUAUCCAUCUGUGGAGAGUUCAUAGAGGAAAGAAGUGGCCUAACUUUCAUCAUCUGCAAUGAUCAGAGUUGAAGCCUUUUAUAAAAUUAUCUGCCAUAAGAGAAACCGCUGCAUCUCGGCUAAAAAUGGGAAGAUACAGAAGAGGUCUGAUAAAAAACACAAUCAUGAUACACUCAUCCUCCUUAUCCUGUCACCAAAGUGGUUGCCCAAAGAUGGGGCCUCCACAGUUGUGUGAUGAAAGGCACAAAUCAGGGACUACCCACUGGGGCAGCCAGGCCAGAGAAGG
rnacentral:lncRNA from 1 species